rnacentral:tRNA from 1 species
GCCAGGGUGGCCGAGCUAGGUUUAAGGUGCCUAAUUGAAGGCUAGGUAAGCGUUACGAACGCUUCGCGAGUUCGAAUCUCGUCCCUGGCG